UACGGAGGGUGCAAGCGUUAUCCGGAUUCACUGGGUUUAAAGGGUGCGUAGGCGGACAUGUAAGUCCGUGGUGAAAUCUCUAAGCUUAACUUGGAAACUGCCAUGGAUACUAUAUGUCUUGAAUGUUGUGGAGGUUAGCGGAAUAUGUCAUGUAGCGGUGAAAUGCAUAGAUAUGACAUAGAACACCAAUUGCGGAGGCAGCUGGCUACACAAAUAUUGACGCUGAGGCACGAAAGCGUGGGGAUCAAACAGG
rnacentral:rRNA from 1 species